GGAAAGUCUGUAGCUCAGCAGUAGAGCAUCUGUUUUGCAUGCAGAGGGUGCCAGGUUCAAAUCCAGACAUCUCCA